UCAUGUCCAUUGCAUAAAGAAAAUGCAAAGGUAGGAUACUUGCCUGAUUCGCUGAUUACAAAUCUCAACUUAGGUUUUAUCUCUUUAUCACAACCUAUCAAUAAUCAGAUCAUUCGUUCGAUUAGAACAAUAUAUCAUAGCACAUAGUACUGUCUAUUACAGUCAGCACAUAGUCUAAUCACGUAAUCACAUAAUUGCAGUGAUCAUACUUUUAGUUCAUAUUCUGCAUUUGAAAUAUUUUUAUACAUUUUUCAUAUAUCUCAUCCAUGUUUUUACAAUAGCCUUUUCUUUCUUUUAUAAGGUCUGACAUUUGUCGGCGUACAGACAGCUUUAUCGGGUAAUUACUGAGUCUAAGACUCUUAUUCUGCACUUCAACAUCUGUAAAUAUCAGACAUUUUAUUUUUAAUCAUUUUCGAAAUUUCCAGAAAUUGAAAAAUUUAAAAUAAUUCAAAUCUGUCACUAAAGGGCCUAUAGUGAUAUAACUGUUACUAUAGGUGUUCUUCUUCAAAUUCAGAACUUCAUAAUCGGU
rnacentral:lncRNA from 1 species